GAUGAACGCUGGCGGCGUGCCUAACACAUGCAAGUCGAACGGAGAUUACGGACGGAAGUUUUCGGAUGGAAGACUGUAAUUCUUAGUGGCGGACGGGGGAGUAACGCGUGGGCAACCUGCUCUAUACAGGGGGAUAGCAGCUGGAAACGGCUGGUAAGACCGCAUAAGUCGGCGAGACCGCAUGGUUUUGCCGGGAAAUGAGCAAUCAGGUAUAGGAUGGGCCCGCGUCCGAUUAGCCAGUUGGCAGGGUAAAAGCCUACCAAAGCAACGAUCGGUAGCCGGACUGAGAGGUCGGACGGCCACAUUGGGACUGAGACACGGCCCAAACUCCUACGGGAGGCAGCAGUGGGGGAUAUUGCACAAUGGAGGAAACUCUGAUGCAGCGACGCCGCGUGAGUGAAGAAGUAUUUCGGUAUGUAAAGCUCUAUCAGCAGGGAAGAUGAUGACGGUACCUGAGUAAGAAGCCCCGGCUAACUACGUG
rnacentral:rRNA from 1 species